rnacentral:miRNA from 1 species
GAACCUUGCAUUGGAGAUGC